UCCGUCCGUUGCUCGCUCACCCCUUGACACGACACUCUUAGCGGCGGCAUCGGCCGCGGAUGGAGUCGUCGAGCGUCCUCGAGGAGGAGCUCUCCCGCCGGUACAAACUCUCCCCCCUCAAGGAGUCAUCGCCAGAACGACGACAUGAUUUCCUCCUUUCUACCGCCUCCGCCACGCGGCGGUCCCCAGGCUCGAGAUCUUCGCCUCCUUAAUUCAGCGUCGGGCACGACAAGGUCAACCUUGCCAAGUCCCGGAAGCGGCAAAUCCGGGUCACCGUCAUCACCGGCGUCCUCACCGCGGACCUGGGUAACCUUGCCAUCGGUCUCUCCAUUGCCGUCCUGCACCUCCACGAGGCCGACCACUACAUCCGGAUGGGAUUUCAAACUCGCCACCAGGGUCAGAUGCUGCUGCUGCUGCUCCUAUUUCAUUCGUUCCAUAAUAAUUAGAUUUGGAAGGUGCCUUUUUUCCUCGCGGGUUUCGUGAAUUUUCAGAAAUGGUUUGCUUUUGUUAUACCUUGCCAUCGCAUAGGAUAUUAAUGCAAAGACUUAUUGGUUUAAUUAGGUGAUGCUUCAUAACAAUUUUCAAAAGUUAAUUGAUAUUUGAUUAUUUUUUUAAAAUCAUAUUUAAUUAGUAUUUACAGGAUAUUAAUAUAUUUUUUUAAUUUUCGAAAUUACCUUAUAACUUUAUCUAAAAUUAUAAGAUUAUCAAAAUGAUUUAUAUAUUCUAUAAGGUGAAAUUUUAUUUAUUUAUUUAUUUUUAAAGAUUAUUUUAUAUUUAUUUACUUAUUUGCAUCAUACAAAAUUUUUUAUAAGAUUACAUACAUACAUACAUUCAUUUAAUUAAUUAAUUAAAAUAAAAAUAUGUAUUUAUUUUUGAAUAAAUAUUAAAAAUAUUAGAAGGGUAAAUUUAUCAAAAAUAUUCAAUGGAUGUUUGAAAUACAAUCUUACCAAACAAAACUUACAUCAAUGCACAUUUAAAAUAUAAUUUUUAUCUAUUGUUUACCAAGCACUCAAGGCAUUCCAUAAUUGUAAAUUCACUUGAAUUCCUUUCUUCAACUACAUAUUAAAAUAACAAAUGUGUUCCCAAACGUAAUCUAAUUUUGUUUUGCUCCUCUUCUUGUUCUUUCGGUUCAUGACAUGUUUGAUUGAAUGGAAUUACAUGCUUGCUUUCUGAGAUUUCUUGUAAAACAAUAGUUAGAACAUGAGAUGACAUAAGACUAGUUAUAUAUGUGUUCUUGUUCCUAGUUGUAAAUGGCUGCUACACAGACCAUCAGUGACAAUAUGCAUGACGAUGUCUUGAUCUCCUACGAGGUCCUAUGACACCUAAUUAUAUGUGCACAUGAUGCGAUCAUCUUACCUAUGCAUGUUUUUUAUUUUUUACAAAAGAUAUUCAUGAAGACAGAAUUAGAUUUCAGGACCAUGCUAUCAACUAUCAAAGCUUUUACCAAUUAAGCUGCCUAACAUCCUCGUAUGUCUAUCAUUUUCUGGAAGGAAAAAAAGUUUUGUUAUGUGACACUAUCCCUUGUCUUUGAUGAGAGUGCAUGCAUCUCUUUCCCCUUGCCGGAGCUCAAGGUUCGAUCCCCAUCAUGCAUAAGUCAUGGAUUGUCCCUAUCAUGAUGGUGGAUAACUAGGAUGACCUUGUGGACCUCAUGGUCAAUUUUGUAGGAUCCUGUGCCGUUGCUAUCUGAAUAAAGUUUACCUAAAUCUAUGGCUGAAACAAAGCUGUUUUAUAAGUAUAAAAUUUCUUGGAAAUUGCAGUUCUUGUGCAUAUUUUAUACUGUGUUUUAGAGAUGGAAGAAUUUAUCAGCAUUAAAUCAGAUUAGAUGAUGUGUUUACCAUCAUGCAACCUGUGGAUAUGUCUGAACCACAUCCAAGGGUCAUCUAAAACCAUAACAUAUAAGCCAACACUCCAUAUUCUCAUAUGAUCUUUGGUUCUCUUGCGAUUUAUUUUUCUUCUUCCUCUGCGCUUCUUCAGGUUGUCUGUGGACUGAGAAGUGAGAACAUUGGAAUCAGGUUCAAAUGAUCAAGUUGUUAAAGCAUUUUAGUUUUGUUUUUUUUGUGCCUAACUAAAUUCAUUGAUAGUUUAUUCACACCACUUAGUGAUACUAACAUAUGGACAUUCACAUCUGGGCAUUUCCUAAUUUUAGAGUAAACAUGCUGAAAAAAGUGCUAUUGAUUAAAGGGCUAAUAGUCAAACUCUUCAAUCAAGUUCAAGCGCUUUGAAUCAAAUUGGGUUUCAUCCAUUCUGGUUAUUUUAAGUUUGGUUGUGUAUUGAUAUAUGAAGUAUUUACCUUGAAUCUAUCAGAUGUAGUUUUAAGUUUCUGAUAUCUAAUGCAGAGUCAUAACUGUGUGUCUCAUGUUCUACACAGAGAUGACUAAAUGUUUUGGUCAGUCUAUGGUUGUUUCAUGGCAUGAACAGUUCUUUUAAUAUGACAUACAUAUUACCUAUAUGUCUCCGCAAUCUGUGCAAGUAUAUAUGUAUACACAACUUUCUGAACCUUCAAGUACCUGGAUCUGUUUAGACGUUAGUCGAUCCUUUUGAGUGGAGCUGCAGCAGCUGAGUCUGUGCUAGGGUUGAGAUCAUGUUAUCCAAACAUGAAACAAUUAUUACAAACCCCCCAUUUGCUUUUAGGCAUUUAUGACCAUGCAUGUUUAUGGUGUAUAUCCACUAAAAGAACACAUAUCGUAAGAGUUGUGUUUUCUACUUGGGACUUUUCAUACAUCCUUUUCAUCUCAUUGACAUGGUGAAUGUUGUUAUUUUUUAUUGUCAAUCUAUUUAAAUUGGUCAAUUUUUAUUAAGAAAAGUGUUGCAAUAAUUAAGGGGUAUGAAACAUUAUAUAACAUGAGGAGUUAUCAAUUUGAACAUUAUUGUUCUAAAAAUAAGUAUCCUCAUCAAAUUUCUUUCAUUGGAUUAAAAAUUACAAGCUUAUAUAACACGCUAUUUCAUCCAAAUUUUAACUUGUACAUGAAAUUAAAAACUCUAUGAGGUCCUUGUUGAAGGAUUCAUCUCAAAAAGGAUUUUGCUUCUUGGAGGACUCAUACCUAAGAACUAUCAUUAUAGCCCUAACUUCAGGAAUCCAAUUUGUAGAAAUAUCUUUGACUCAUGAGAUGGUGAUAUGGAUGAAGUUUUUCAAAGAUGGUCUUAACUCUUAAAAUCCAAGUAAUUCUAUCUGAUUCCAAGUGGGGAUCAUCAUAACAUAAAAUGGAAAUCAAGAUUGUUAAGUUACUCAGAAUAAUUCAAGUUAAAUGAAACUUACUCCAUGUGGUUGUCGAUGACUCCAACUUGUCAAUGACACAGUGCAUAGUCAAAAAGUUUGUGAAAAUUUGAUAAAUUAUAAAACCAUUAUUUAAACUAAACAAAAAAAUCAUAAGAAAGUUCAAAAAUUAAUAUAAUACUGUUAAGUGUCUGAUCCUACUAGCCAGAAUAAUAUAUUCAUUUGUUAAGUAUCUGAUCUUUGUUAAAAACCACAAAACUAAGAUUCUGUGUUUCUUCCUUCUUAAAAUAAUUGUGCCUUGUAUCACUGACUUGGUUUGGCACUACAGGUUGUCACACUAACAAACAAUUUUUCUUUUAAGUCUGUGUCAGAUGUUGCCAAAACAUUCAUCAAAUCUAUAAAUAGAUACCCAUGUAGACCUUGGCCUUUCUCUUCUCGAAUAUACACUCCAUCCUGUUUGGUCCGUGGAUAAGAUCUUUGUUUCUUCCAAACAGCACCAAGGAGUUCCUCCAUUUUUGUGCCUAUUUAGAUUCUACUCUUUGCUCCCCAUAAUGUGGUUAUUCCUAACAUGGUCCUCUCUUUCCCUCCUCAUUUUUUCUUAUCUGUCAUAUUCUUUUGUUUACCAGUUUUUCCUUGCUCAGUAUUUUGAACAUCGUGGGACAAAUGAUCUAUAUACCAUUUUCAUAUAGAAAGCACAUAUUAUUCUCCAUCCCCUCUAUGCAAAUUGUUAAUUGCAUUGUUUGUCCUCUACCAUUCUAUUUUCGCUGAUACUGGUUAGUUGAAUUAGGAUAUGUGAAAAGAAAAAGUAAACUAUAUGUGAAAAGUAGAUAUGCCUGGGAAUGAAGCCUAGUUCAAAGUUUUAAAAAUCAUAACUUUGAGUUCCUCUUCUCGUUCCAAAGUUUUAAAAUUGACCUCAUCUUUGAUAUAUGUAACCUGAAAUUGGGAAGAAAAAAGGUAUUAGAAGUUUCUGCUUGUAUAAUGAGUUAUCAUUUUUCUUAAACAUUUCAAGAAACUUUUGUCUUUAAUGUAAGAAGUUGACAUCAUACUAUGAUAUCUGUUUGCUGUUGGCAGGGGUAAAAUAGUUUGCUGUAAGAAGUAUUUGGUUGCCUAUAAGCUGCUACUCAAGAACAGAGAAACUGGUACCAAUUACAAGAACUACUCUUAGAAGCAGUUUCUUCUGUUAAGACUUCCAUCCGACUGUACAGAAUUCUCUAAUGAGUCACCCAACAAUGGACUUCCAGUGAAUUAUUGGAUUUCUGUUGUCUCCAUUGAACUAUCUAGGAAAUUCUGCUGCAAGUCCACAACUUAUUGAAAUAAAGAUCACCAGUGAUGCAACUUGUUGCCAAUGUCUCUGAAGUUAUAAACUAAGACAAGCAGAAUCAGAGGGUCAUGACAUUUGAUGUUCAGAUCCAGCACUGAUAUAUCUGCACACAUAGGCUUUUCUCAAAAGGUGGUUGGGUUGGCUAAGCAGCAGCUCCUUUGAAGAUGAGAAAGUUGAGUCUCUCCAGGCAGAAGUAGAUGAAGGUGCCCUUUGUGUGGGUGAAGAAGCACCCAAAGUUGGAACCCACCACACAUUGCCAUCCAGGCCCAUACCUCAGAUCAAAUUCCUGGAACAUCAACACGCACAAGAAAAGAAGGGGAUGACAGAAGGUCCAACCAUGGAGGAAUUGGAAAAUUGAUGUGGAAAGGAGAGAGGGGAAAUUACCUUCUUGAUGUGGGUAGCUAUGCUCUUGCAGUCAAGGACAUCAAAGAGGUCGAGAGCUUCACUAGCACAGGACAUGGCUUGCAGCUGCAUCUUCACUGGCAUGUCUGUGUCCUGGAUCAUUGCCUUCCCCUCCAGCAUUCUGCCUUCUCUCCCCAAAUCCAGUGCUGAUCCAAUUGAGAAAUCUGCUCCUAUUUCACUGGAUUAAUACCUGCAUGCUGUGGAAGACUGAAGGAUUUAGAAGGAUAACGCAAAGCUCCUCUUUGGUUGCCAGUGGCGUGCAUGGCGAUCACCUCCUUCCUGCUGAUGGUGACUUGUAUUGUCAUGGCAUAUAGAUUGAUGAACAAACACUUUUGAGGGUACACAAUGACAUGGUUGGUAUUGUCUUAUAUGCAGAUGUGUUAAUUCAUCUGAAACAGUAUACUAAUUAAUAUGAUUGGUAUAUAGAUUUGAUCAAAGAAAAAAAAAAGAAAAAGAGAAUUGGUUUUGACCA